ACCUGCUUAAAAGGAAAGAGAAACCAGAGUGAAUUAUGACUCUUGCCCAGUUUUUGGUUGAAUACUGCCUGCAUGCUGCUACAAUGCCCCUUUUACAGAACAUUGUCUAACAUGUAAAUAUUCUGGAAUAGUACCCCCAAAUUCAACUUGACAUGAAGACAAGAACAAAACCAUUCAGUACUGAUUAAAUGCUUGGGAUAAUGUGCAACAAUCUAGAUGAUCCAAAGAGUAUUUGAUGACAUUGCAUUAAUGACCUUAAGUUAAUAGCUGCACCCUUCUGGUUACCGCUAGAACUGAGCUUUCGCUCGCCGUCCACCACUGCUGUUUUGCUGCCGUCGCAGACCCGCCGCUGACUUCCAUCCCUCCAAUCCAGCAGGGCGCCCGCUGUGCUCCUGAUCCAGGGAAGCACCCGUUGCCACUCCUGAUCGCGCUAAAGGCUUGCCAUUGUUCCUGCAUGGCUAAGUGCCUGGUUUCGUCCUAAUCAAGCUGAACACUAGUCACUGGGUUCCACGGUUCUCUUCCGUGACCCACGACUUCUAAUAGAGCUAUAACACUCACCGCACGGCCCAAGAUUCCAUUCCUUGGAAUCCGUGAGGCCAAGAACCCCAGGUCAGAGAACACGAGGCUUGCCACCAUCUUGGAAGUGGCCUGCCGCCAUUUUGGAAGUGGCCCACCACCAUCUUGGGAGCUCUGGGAGCAAGGACCCCUGGCAUCUGGAUAUUAAGACUGUCUCCAGCCCUUUGAGGUUGAGAGAGGAAGCAAGCACGGAGGAAUGGAUUUGACAACCCACAUGUCCGUGACUCAAAGCAAGCAAGGCCUUGCACAACCAACUCGCCACCCACACAAUCUGCACAGUCUCAGUGAGAAAGCAGGAGCAGGGAGCUCUCCGCUGAGAGUGAAGAAAUGUCCUCAACUCGACUUCUCUGCAGUGUGCAUGUGUGUGAAACACAGACACACACGGGAGGAAUUUGGCUCUGUCAUUUUAGUGUACCAAAGAAAAAAAAACAGGGAGAAAUCACUUGUUUGAAGCCCUAAAUGACAUAAGGAAGAUUUUCCCAGAUCUAAAUAAUGAUCCCUAAGGUCAGGUGCUGUGUAUGGUAUGGAUUUGGAAACUUCAUAAUGUCUCUGACCACCACUCCAGGACACUGCAGACAGGUGUGCAUUUACUCAGCAUCCAGUAAACACCUGCAAGGUGCAGAGUACUACACUAGGCACAGGGAACAGAGCUACUGACUGACUGCCAGAGUUUCGAAGAAUACAGAUAAGUCAACUAUUAAAGCUAGGAAACAGACCGGAUGCGGUGGCUCACGCCUGUAAUCCCAGCACUUUGGAAGACCGAGGCGGGUGGAUCAACUGAGGUCAAGAGUUCAAGACCAGCCUGCCAACAUGGUGAAACUCCGUCCCUAUUAAUAAUACAAAAAAAUUAGCUGGGCAUGGUGGCACAUGCCUGUAAUCCCAGCUAUUCGGGAGGCUGAGGCAGGAGAAUUGCUUGAACCCAGGAGGCUGCAGUGAGCUGAGAUCGCGCCAUUGCACUCCAGCCUGGGCAACAAGAGCGAAACUCUGCCUCCAAUAAAUAAAUAAAUAAAAUAAAAUAAAAUAAAAUAAAGCCAUAAAACAGUAAA
rnacentral:lncRNA from 1 species